AUUUUACUAAGGUUUCGUUUAGAAAUUAUAAAGAGAUUGCGUUACGUACAGUGAGAAAGUACGUUGAAAGAAUAUUAUAUUUAUUUUUAUACGUAAUAUUACAUUCUCUAUAUCGCGAUGAUGCCGAUGAGUCGGUUACGAUAUCCCUCUAUAUUUUUAGAUCGACUCCAUUUUAUCUAAUAAUUUUAUAUGGAUCUCAAUAUUAAACUAAGCCUAAGUAGUAUUAGAUAGAUGUUAAUAUCCAAUG
rnacentral:lncRNA from 1 species